AUGCAGGUAGGUGGGCCGGCCCAGACCGCAAAUAAGUGUCGGAUCCAUAUUGUGGAGCCCACAACGAUGCGCUUUCCAUGCACGUCGAUCACACGCACGUCGAUCACGGGAGUAGUUGCCGUUCUGUUACACAAUUCUGGGAUCGUGCUAAUCCAUAUGUUCCUAAUCCCUACGAUUGAGGAGCACGUUCAGCCUCGCUUCAACGGAGGAAAAUAUAGAUCGCGACAUUGGCCACAGGGAAAUCGACUCCUGCCGGCGAGGCGUCGACAGCUCCGUCCGCCGCAUCCCACACGCCACAAAAACCCCGAGAAGAUCAAGGUCGUCCGCACGUGCAGGCCGACCUCGACGAACUACGUCGAGAACGCAUCGCCGACUUCUUUCAUCUUCGUCGAUAGAUCAAGUAAAUUGUCCUCUUUCCCUCGCGCCUUCAAAAUGAAAACAUUCUUUGGUUCUUUCAUAGCAUGGAUGGACGAGCUGAAUGGAGAAAUAGUAUGCGCAACGGAGAAAUGGUGCAAGCUUGUUGCAGAUCUAUCGAGCGGUCAACGCGCUAGAGUGGCUGAUACAUCAUUGCGCAGCAUGCUGCAGAUACCAUCUAUUAAAAUGCGUACCCUGCUGAUUAGGUAUAUGAUUGAGAAUUUUCAGGCCAGCACGGGCAGAUUCAUUAUACAAGAGCAGGUUGGGGAGGUGACUCUCGGUGCGGUCGACGUCGAGUGCAUAUUUAACCUCGAGAACCAAGGACUGUCCGCUUCGGACAUUCUGACUGAAGAAGGCGAGGACAUGAAGGAGCGGGUGCCGCCACAAUUUCUCAGUAAGACAUCAGAAAACAUAGUGAUAGAUAAUCUCAUUGAGGACAUAAUUAAAAGUAAAGCCACCGAUGAUGAUUUCCUUCGCAAAGUAGUGCUGGUCCUGUUAGGAACAAUUAUUGCUCCCAUGUUGAGCAAGAUUGUGCCAAAGCAGUACUACGCUUUGGUCUACGAUGUGAAACGUAUUUCAAAGAUUAACUGGAAUGCCUUCACCAUGCGUGUUCUCCUUGAUUGCCUUCGCAUAGUGAAGAAAGGCAAACACCUGCGCCAAUGGCCGAAAGGCAAUUUGGCUCUCUUGCAGUACUUGUACUGGGAGAAGGUGCAACCGGUCCAAGGCGAAUGCGCCUAUAAUCCCAACUUGUCCAUACAACCUCUUAUGAGGAACUGGACAGAAGGUGCAGCCACUAGGAGAGAUAGGUUCGACUUUGAUAAUGGACGCGACCGUGGUAACGUAAGGAUCGAAAAUAAUAUCACCCAGGAGUAUAGGGCUCAGGAGCCCGACAUCCCAAAUAAUGCGCCUACCAUGAAGCCAAAAACCAAGCCUGCAACUGGAAACGCAAAGAAGUCCACGACAGCUGCAUUGUCGGAAAAUUUGAUGGAGCUUGUAAUGAAGCAGUGCAUGGACUUCAGACACACCGAGAUGAGGCAAAUCCCUGAUAUAGUUGCUGAGAGGUUGUUGGAGAAGUUGAACAAAGCAGGUGUCAUGUACAAGCCGGCUGCUGGCGUGCCAUCCGCGGAGAAUGAUCCGGACGAAGUGGAUUCGUUCGAGAAUGGUCCAUAUGAAAAGAAGGAAUUCGUGUACAAGGAAGACAUGGACAGUGAUGGACACCCGAUCAUUGACAUGACGCAGCCUGAUAUAGUGCUUCCCGACCAUAAAACCGUACCUGAGUUUUCGAAACUGAAAACCCCACCGAAGCUUAAUGGACACAAGGAAGCUUCACCUUUUAAGCGUAAUGAUGUAUGUGGGGCUACACCGGAAAACCCUUGGGUGGUUGGUACUUCUACUGUAGCACCUUCAUCAGACAUAGAUAUUUGUCCAUCUUCUGUCAGCAAGUUCAUGGCUAAGGCGAAUGGAAAAAAGGGUGCAACAAUCGAUAAGGAUGACGAGGUUAUGUCCGGUAAGCGGAAGCGGACCGUUCCCAAGAAAUUUGAAUCCCCCUUCGCACUUAACAAGCCCGGCAGGCGUACCAGCUGUGGUCAGAGGGCCUCUGGUACUAGUACUGCUACUAGAGCUCUAUUUUCGAACAAUAAUGUGCCAGAGGUUGUGGCAGAUGAGUUGACGCCGGAAAUAAUUGAUGCUGCUGUUUCAUUUGUCGAGUUAGCUGCUAGCACUGAGAAGAACAAGAACAAAAAAAUUUACUACAGUGAAGGCCGUGGCAUAACUCUGACUUCCGAAAGGAUUCUACCGGUACUAGGCCAUAGAUGGCUGUCGGACGAUGUUAUUGAUGCUUAUAUGGGACAUUUGGAGCUGCGUGUUGGUCAUGAUCGUUACCUCUGUCCAGCGUGGAGGUCCAAAUUCCUUGUAGAUCGUGCUAUCGCAAAUGACGAUCCAUUGCCAUCUUGCUGCAACAUGGAUAGUGCUCUGAACAAAGCUGGGGCAAUUAAUAGAGUCAUGAAAGAGUAUACUGUGCGUGAUAAGACGUAUAUCACGUUGAAUAUCGACAAUAGCCACUGGAUGACCGUGGUCAUGCACAUGAUCAAGAAAGAAUUCCAAGUUCUCGAUUCGCUCUAUCCUCUGGACCUGACUGAGAGGACUGUUAAAGCACUGCAAAGGGCUAUAGCACACGAUAUGCGUCGGGCAAAUCUUAUUACACCAGGGAAAUAUCCGGACGUAAGUAAGUGGCCUAUCAAGGAGUAUGACAUACCCCAGCAAGAGGAUGGGAACACUUGUGGCCUUUUUGUCACAGAAUGUCUAGAACAUUGGGACGGGCACAAAAUCACCCGCAAAUUUACACAGGCCACCGUUGACGCAAGGAGAAGACGUUUCGUCGCAGAGUCGAUUAUGUCACCUUCAAACACGAUGGAGUGUGUGAAGAACAAAAUUCGCGAAAUCGCAAGCAAAAGGCGCGCCUGA
rnacentral:rRNA from 1 species